ensembl:snRNA U6 U6 spliceosomal RNA
GUGCUUAAUUCAGCAGCACAUAUACUAAAACUGGAACCACACAGAAAAGAUUAGUAUGGCCCCAGAGCAAGGAAGACAUGCAAAUUCAUGAAGCCCUUUCAUAUUUAU